rnacentral:rRNA from 1 species
GACGAACGCUGGCGGCGUGCUUAACACAUGCAAGUCGAACGGAAAGGCCCUGCUUUUGUGGGGUGCUCGAGUGGCGAACGGGUGAGUAACACGUGAGUAACCUGCCCUUGACUUUGGGAUAACUUCAGGAAACUGGGGCUAAUACCGGAUAGGAGCUCCUGCUGCAUGGUGGGGGUUGGAAAGUUUCGGCGGUUGGGGAUGGACUCGCGGCUUAUCAGCUUGUUGGUGGGGUAGUGGCUUACCAAGGCUUUGACGGGUAGCCGGCCUGAGAGGGUGACCGGCGACAUGGGGACUGAGAGACGGCCCAGACUCCUACGGGAGGCAGCAGGGGGGAAUAUUGCACAAUGGGCGGAAGCCUGAUGCAGAAACGCCGCGUGCGGGAUGACGGCCUUCGGGUUGUAAACCGCUUUCGCCUGUGACGAAGCGUGAGUGACGGUAAUGGGUAAAGAAGCACCGGCUAACUACGUG